UGCUUUAUUGCACUAAUGACAUACCUACUGUAUUAAGUGCAGACAUGUAACAAAACUGUUAGUGCUUGCUGGUGAGGAGUAAGUAGGUUUUCCUAGGAAAAAUGCAGGUGGGGCUGAUAAGACAAACAAAACAAUUGCUGGAUCUCCCUUUUUUCAAAAAAAAUUUAUUUACUUAUUUAUUUUUAGAGAGACAGUGAGUAUGAACAGGGGGAGGGGCAGAGAGAGAAAAUCUUUUAUGCAGACUCCCCACUGAGUGAGGAGCCUGACAUGGGCCUCCUUCCCACAACCCAUGAGAUCAUGACCUGAAAGAAAACCAAGAGUCAGAUGCUUAACCGGCUGAGCCACCCAGACAACCCAGUUGGAUUUCUUUAGUAGGAACAUCUUUGCAAAAACAGUGAGUGGGAAUGAAGACAGAUGAAAGCUCCAGUUGUGAUUGUCUUUACACACCAACCAAGUUGGCUGCAUUCAUGUCGGAGGAAAGAGCUUUCUCUCCCUUUACACAAGAGGGCGCUGGAGCCCAUGGUACUGCGCACUCGGCUGGGAGACUAGGAUCCAAGAAAAGGCAGAAAAGCGGCUUGGGUGUGUUCCAGGUAAUGGCACCAGCCCUGCCAGCUCAAGGUUUCAGGUACUCAGCGUGUACCCCUGAUGCAGAGACUCGAAGGGAGCAUAUAAACCGCAGCUGGUGUCCAGGAGCGUGGGAUCCUGGGCUCACCUGGGAUAGAGCCACUGGCCAGCUAGCUUGCAGGGUGUGGAGCAGGGGACUCCCUGUGGGAAGUGGCUCUGUGAGAACCCAAGGAGAGACUCAGGGCCUGUUUGUCCGGAGAAAAAGAGAUUAGGGUGAUGGGACCAGGCCCUGCAUUUUUGAAGGGCUUUGCCUAGAAGAGAGACUAGGCUUAUUUCAUGAGGCUCCGGCAGCAGAACUGGGACCUAUGAUGGAUAUAGAUCAAGAAGGAGAUUUCAGUUGAACACAGGAAGAACUUUGUGGGUGUCGGGGGCAGCAUGGUCCAGGCAGUACGCAUGGGCUGUGGAGGAAGCCCUGAGCUCACCCGGCCUGCCGUUACUAGCUCUGUGACUUGGACAAACUACUCAGCCUCAGUCCUCUCCUCUAUAAAAUGGGGAUAAUGAUGUCUACCUUGUAGGCUUGUGGAGAGUGAAGAUUUUGAGGAAAGACCUCAGCAUAGUGCCUAGCAUCCAUCUAUCUAUCUGUCUGUCUUUCUUCUUUUUUUAAAACUCAUUUUUUUUAGGGAAAAAAGAUCAUAGCAGCUAACCUUGAAUGCUUAUUCUGUGGAAGACACUGAGCCAUCUCCCAUUCAUGAUCUCUGAGCCCUCAAGCAACUCGAUGAGGCAAGCGCCCCUACCCUUAUUUUACAGAAGAGACAAGCGGGGUCUGGAGAGGAUAAGAGAUUGGCCCACGGUC
rnacentral:lncRNA from 12 species